GUGGGGAAUCUUGCGCAAUGGGCGAAAGCCUGACGCAGCCAUGCCGCGUGAAUGAUGAAGGUCUUAGGAUUGUAAAAUUCUUUCACCGGGGACGAUAAUGACGGUACCCGGAGAAGAAGCUCCGGCUAACUUCGUGCCAGCAGCCGCGGUAAUACGAAGGGGGCUAGCGUUGCUCGGAAUUACUGGGCGUAAAGGGCGCGUAGGCGGACAGCUUAGUCAGAGGUGAAAGCCCAGGGCUCAACCUUGGAAUUGCCUUUGAUACUGGCUGUCUUGAGUUUGGGAGAGGUGAGUGGAACUCCGAGUGUAGAGGUGAAAUUCGUAGAUAUUCGGAAGAACACCAGUGGCGAAGGCGACACACUGGCCCGUUACUGACGCUGAGGCGCGAAAGCGUGGGGAGCAAACAGGAUUAGAUACCCUUGUAGUCC
rnacentral:rRNA from 1 species